UCCACCCAUCACAUAGCACUAGAGGGGAGC
rnacentral:piRNA from 1 species